UUCUAGUGUGAGCAGCGGAGGAGGUUGUAAACAGAGAAAGACACAGCGGGGUUAAUUGCUACAAUGUUGGUGGACCUUCAGUUCCUUUCGGUGGCUACAAACAGUCUGGGUUUGGCAGGGACCUGGGAGAGGAUUCAUUGAAAGAAUAUCAUGAGGUUAAGACAGUAGUCAUUAAAGUGCCGGAGAAGAAUUCAUAAACUGUAUUAUUAUUGCAAUAAUUCAUAAAAGUCUUUUUCUGACAUCAUUGCAGUAGUUCUAAAUAGAUAAUUUUAAUAAUGAAAAUAAAUUUAAGUUUUUGUUCUUGAUUUCGAAAAGGCUAGUAAUUUUCUUAUUAAUUAAAUUCUAAAGAUGUGUUUACAUUCAAGUUGCUUCUUCACCAAUGAUUUUCAGAGUAAGAAACUAUAUACAUUUUUCCUUAUUUAGGAAAACCAGAAAACACGGCUUUAAUUUAGCCAUAUUGGUACAGAGAAUUUGCAAAGAAUGUUUUUUUCUUAUAACUUCAAAACACAGUAUAAUUAUGUUUAUGUGUAUGUACAUCAAUGAUACAUUCAAAAGGUAAACUUUAAUCAGCGAUAAUUGUUUUGUGGAAAUAAAAGUGUGAAAAACACUCCAAAGGA